rnacentral:rRNA from 1 species
AUUGAACGCUGGCGGCAGGCCUAACACAUGCAAGUCGAACGAGUGGCGGACGGGUGAGUAAUGUCUGGGAAACUGCCUGAUGGAGGGGGAUAACUACUGGAAACGGUAGCUAAUACCGCAUAACAUCAGAUGUGCGCAGAUGGGAUUAGCUAGUUGGUGGGGGAACGGCUCACCAAGGCGACGAUCCCUAACUGGUCUGAGAGGAUGACCAGUCCCCCUGGAACUUAGACACGUUCCAGACUCCGACGGGAGGCAGCAGUGGGGAAUAUUGCACAAUGGGCGGAAGCCUGAUUCAGCCAUGCCGCGUGUAUGAAGAAGGCCUUCGGGUUGUAAUGUACUUUCAGCGGGGAGGCGUUACCCGCAGAAGAAGCACCGGCUAACUCCGUGCCAGCAGCCGCGGUAAUUC